rnacentral:miRNA from 1 species
UAAGUGCAUGUAUGGUGCUAUU